rnacentral:rRNA from 1 species
GAUGAACGCUAGCGGCAGGCUUAAUACAUGCAAGUCGAGGGGCAGCAUGAUUGUAGCAAUACAAUUGAUGGCGACCGGCAAACGGGUGCGGAACACGUACACAACCUCCCAAUAAGUGGGGAAUAGCCCAGAGACAUUUGGAUUAAUACCCCGUAACAUAACGAUGUGGCAUCACAUUGUUAUUAUAGAUUUUUCGCUUAUUGAUGGGUGUGCGGCUGAUUAGAUAGUUGGCGGGGUAACGGCCCACCAAGUCUACGAUCAGUAGCUGAUGUGAGAGCAUAUGCAGCCACAGGGGCACUGAGAGACGGGCCCGACUCCUACGGGUGGCAGCAGUAAGGAAUAUUGGACAAUGGACGCAAGUCUGAUCCAGCCAUGCCGCGUGAAGGAUUAAGGUCCUCUGGAUUGUAAACUUCUUUUAUAAGGGACGAGAAAAGGCUUUUCUAAGUCGUCUGACGGUACCUUAUGAAUAAGCACCGGCUAACUCCGUGCCAGCCGCCGCCGUAACAC